GACGAACGCUGGCGGCGUGCCUAAUACAUGCAAGUAGAACGCUGAAGGAGGAGCUUGCUUCUCUGGAUGAGUUGCGAACGGGUGAGUAACGCGUAGGUAACCUGCCUGGUAGCGGGGGAUAACUAUUGGAAACGAUAGCUAAUACCGCAUAAUAGUAGAUGUUGCAUGACAUUUGCUUAAAAGUUGCAAUUGCAUCACUACCAGAUGGACCUGCGUUGUAUUAGCUAGUUGGUGGGGUAACGGCUCACCAAGGCGACGAUACAUAGCCUACCUGAGAGGGUGAUCGGCCACACUGGGACUGAGACACGGCCCAGACUCCUACGGGAGGCAGCAGUAGGGAAUCUUCGGCAAUGGACGGAAGUCUGACCGAGCAACGCCGCGUGAGUGAAGAAGGUUUUCGGAUCGUAAAGCUCUGUUGUAAGAGAAGAACGAGUGUGAGAGUGGAAAGUUCACACUGUGACGGUAUCUUACCAGAAAGGGACGGCUAACUACGUG
rnacentral:rRNA from 1 species